rnacentral:rRNA from 1 species
GAGCAGGCGCGCAAUUACCCAAUCCUGACUCAGGGAGGUAGUGACAAGAAAUAACAAUAAACCGGCUUAUGCCGGUUUAAUUGGAAUGAGUACAAUUUAAACAUCUUAACGAGGAACAAUUGGAGGGCAAGUCUGGUGCCAGCAGCCGCGGUAAUUCCAGCUCCAAUAGCGUAUACUAAAGUUGUUGCAGUUAAAAAGCUCGUAGUUGGAUUUCUGUGGGGACGGAGCGGCCGGCCGCACAUCGCGGUUCGAGCUAGCGCUUUCCCUACAUCCUGCCGCGAACCGUGCUACCAUUAGUUUGGUGGCGCCGGGGAUCGGCUCGAUUACUUUGAGAAAAAUAGAGUGUUCAAAGCAGGCCACAUGCCUUGAAUAAGUUAGCAUGGAAUAAUAACUAAGGACUUCGGUUCUAUUUUGUUGGUGUUCGGGACUGAAGUAAUGAUUGAUAGGGACAGUUGGGGCGGUCUGUAUUCCAAAGCGAGAGGUGAAAUUCUUAGACCUUCGGAAGACAAACAGCUGCGAAAGCGUUCCGCAAGGAUGUUCCCUUUGAUCAAGAACGAAAGUUGGGGGAUCGAAGACGAUCAGAUACCGUCGUAGUCUCAACUAUAAACUAUACCAGCUAGGGAUCGGCCAACGUUAUUUUAUACCGACUUGGUCGGCACCUUAUGAGAAAUCAAAGCAUCUGGGUUCCGGGGGGAGUAUGGUCGCAAGGCUGAAACUUAAAGGAAUUGACGGAAGGGCACCACCAGCCGUGGAGCCUGUGGCUUAACUUGACUCAACACGGGAAAACUUACCAGGUCCAGACAUAGUAAGGAUUGACAGAUUGAUAGCUCUUUCUUGAUUCUGUGGGUGGUGGUGCAUGGCCGUUCUUAGUUGGUGGAGUGAUUUGUCUGGUUAAUUCCGUUAACGAACGAGACCCCAGCCUGCUAAAUAGCGCGCGUGAGCUUUGCUCGCGGCGAGCUUCUUAGAGGGACUAUGAUGCGCGAUAGCACAUGGAAGUUUGGGGCAAUAACAGGUCUGUGAUGCCCUUAGAUGUUCUGGGCCGCACACGGGCUACACUGGCGCCUGCAACGAGCAUAUCAGCUGGCCCGAGAGGGUCUUGGCUAAUCUUUUGAACCGGCGCCGUGCUUGGGAUUGACCUUUGCAAUUGUUGGUCAUGCAACGAGGAAUGCCUUGUAAACGCGAGUCAUCAGCUCGCAUUGAAUACGUCCCUGCCCUUUGUACACACCGCCCGUCGCUCCUACCGAUGAAUGUUCCGAUGAAAUUUUCGGAGAGCACCUGUGAACUUGGCUCUGCCUUGCGAACGGGAGGCUCAAAGUCACCUAAAUCUGAACCUUUAG